ACUGCUCAGUAACACGUGGAUAACCUGCCCUGAGGAAGGGGAUAACCUCGGGAAACUGAGGAUAAUACCCUAUAGGUUACAGACGCUGGAAUGCCCUGUAACCGAAAGUUCCGGCGCCUUAGGAUGGAUCUGCGGCCGAUUAGGUUGUUGUUGGGGUAACGGCCCAACAAGCCGAUAAUCGGUACGGGUUGUGGGAGCAAGAGCCCGGAGUUGGAUUCUGAGACAUGAAUCCAGGCCCUACGGGGCGCAGCAGGCGCGAAAACUUUACAAUGCGGGAAACCGUGAUAAGGGAACCCCGAGUGCCUGUAUAUGCAGGCUGUCCAGGUGUCUAAAAAACACCUGAAGAAAGGGCCGGGCAAGACCGGUGCCAGCCGCCGCGGUAAUACCGGCGGCUCGAGUGGUGGCCACUUUUAUUGGGCUUAAAGCGUUCGUAGCUGGGUUGUUAAGUCUCUUGGGAAAUCUGACGGCUCAACCGUCAGGCGUCCAAGGGAUACUGGCAAUCUUGGAACCGGGAGAGGUGAGGGGUACUUCGGGGGUAGGAGUGAAAUCCUGUAAUCCUCGAGGGACCACCUGUGGCGAAGGCGCCUCACCAGAACGGCUUCGACAGUGAGGGACGAAAGCUGGGGGAGCAAACCGGAUUAGAUACCCGGGUAGUCCCAGCCGUAAACGAUGCGCGUUAGGUGUAUCGGUGACCACGAGUCACCGAGGUGCCGAAGGGAAACCGUGAAACGUGCCGUGCUGGGAAGUACGGUCGCAAGGCUGAAACUUAAAGGAAUUGGCGGGGGAGCAC
rnacentral:rRNA from 1 species